GCAGCGCUGCAACACUGUGUCUCCCGCAGACACAAAAGAGCUGUACGUGAGGUGCCUCGCGAUGCUGCGCGAAUAGUGUUUGGGAUACGGCGCACUUCCUGCAAGUCAGCGUCUCGAGUAAUGACUUUGUUUUACCGUUCGCGCUUUUGACGUCCGUCGGCGGCUAUACGGGGCGCGUCACCAAGUUUCCAACAAGUCGGUGUCCCACAGGAACGCAGGGACAGGUUACGAGCCUUGCAUUGAUGUCAAGCCUUUCCAGGACUAACACCAUCUCCGACCUCCUUAAGCGACGAAAGAAGCGAAGAUCGCGGAUGCUCACGCGGCACUACAUGUCCACAGGUGCAUUUAAUAGAAGGCCGACGCGGCGCCUAAGUGAAACUGCGGGUGCCAAGUGACCAUCGACCAAGUGACCGUCGACGUCAUCAUACAUGCCUGGCUAUUUGGAAAAGCGACCAUGCACCUGCGGAGGAUAGUGACCACUGACUUGCGUGUUCGAGCAUUGAAACAUGAUUUCGUCCGUUAUGCUUCAUAAGGAAUAACCGAAAAUCUCGACGGAUGUCCGAAACCAAGGGACUUCUAGGAUCACGCUAUAGAAAAACAGGGAAAAGAUGCUAUGCAACGCAAUUGAUAUACUAUCUUUUGAUUCGUCAAGUUACUAAGUUUCUGUAUGCUUGAUAGUAUUAGCUUAUAUUUAGCUAGUCGUAAGUGUGCACAAAGCUUUUGUCCUAAUACAUAGAUUAAAUACAUUAUACAUACAUAAUACAUUUGAUACACUUAAUGUAUAUUGAUUAAACGUUCACC